GGGCCCGUGGUCUAGCGGUCAGGAUGCGACUCUUACAAAGUCGAGAUCGUCGGUUCGAAUCCGACCGGGCCCA
rfam:Euryarchaeota archaeon RBG_16_67_27 RBG_16_scaffold_4410, whole genome shotgun sequence.